rnacentral:rRNA from 1 species
GAGUUUGAUCUUGGCUCAGGAUGAACGCUGGCGGCGUGCUUAACACAUGCAAGUCGAGCGAAGCACUUAAGCGGAUCUCUUCGGAUUGAAACUUAUUUGACUGAGCGGCGGACGGGUGAGUAACGCGUGGGUAACCUGCCUCAUACAGGGGGAUAACAGUUAGAAAUGGCUGCUAAUACCGCAUAAGCGCACAGGACCGCAUGGUCUGGUGUAGAAAACUCCGGUGGUAUGAGAUGGACCCCGCGUCUGAUUAGCUAGUUGGAGGGUAACG